rnacentral:rRNA from 1 species
UGGGGAAUUUUGGACAAUGGGCGAAAGCCUGAUCCAGCAAUGCCGCGUGUGUGAAGAAGGCCUUCGGGUUGUAAAGCACUUUUGUCCGGAAAGAAAUCCUUGGCUCUAAUACAGUCGGGGGAUGACGGUACCGGAAGAAUAAGCACCGGCUAACUACGUGCCAGCAGCCGCGGUAAUACGUAGGGUGCAAGCGUUAAUCGGAAUUACUGGGCGUAAAGCGUGCGCAGGCGGUUUGCUAAGACCGAUGUGAAAUCCCCGGGCUCAACCUGGGAACUGGCAUUGGUGACUGGCAGGCUAGAGUAUGGCAGAGGGGGGUUAGAAUUCCACGUGUAGCAGUGAAAUGCGUAGAGAUGUGGAGGAAUACCGAUGGCGAAGGCAGCCCCCUGGGCCAAUACUGACGCUCAUGCACGAAAGCGUGGGAAGCAAACAGGAUUAGAUACCCUGGUAGUCCACGCCCUAAACGAUGUCAACUAGUUGUUGGGGAUUCAUUUCCUUAGUAACGUAGCUAACGCGUGAAGUUGACCGCCUGGGGAGUACGGUCGCAAGAUUAAAACUUAAUGAAUUGACGGGGUCAUAGCUGUUUCCU